GUCAUUCAUACUCCUUUUUGACAGCAGCAAGUAACAAAACAACAACAAUCUAUUCAGAUCAAAAUAACCUAGAUCUGCGAUUUUUUUUUAGUUUUUCUGAAAUCACAACACCACACACUACCAUUGAACUCAAACCUGCAUCUCAACCACUUUUAUCUCAGAUCUAUUCAGAUCAAAAUAACCUAGAUCUGCGAUUUUUUUUUAGUUUUUCUGAAAUCACAACACCACACACUACCAUUGAACUCAAACCUGCAUCUCAACCACUUUUAUCUCAGAUCUGAAGCAUAUACAACUCGAAUUCAGAUGCUAAACAAGUUGUGGUGCGCACAACUCGCUAAUGUGUUUAGUAGUUGUUGAAGGGAAUUAAGGUUUUGAAAUGGGAUUGAUUUGGGGAAGAAAAGGACUUUUGUUACGAGAUAUAAUAUUUUUUUCUAUGUAUUUUUAAAGAAAAGGGUGAA
rnacentral:lncRNA from 1 species